CCCCUAGUAACUGCGAGUGAAGAGGGAAAAGCUCAAAUUUAAAAUCUGGCAGUCUUCUGAUUGUCCGAGUUGUAAUUUAGAGAAGUGCUACCCGUGUUGGCCCGUGUAUAAGUUUCCUGGAAUGGAACCUCAUAGAGGGUGAGAAUCCCGUCUUUGACACGGACUACCAAUGCUUUUGUUGGUGUGCUCUCGAAGAGUCGAGUUGUUUGGGAAUGCAGCUCUAAAUGGGUGGUAAAUUCCAUCUAAAGCUAAAUAUUGGGGAGAGACCGAUAGCGAACAAGUACCGUGAGGGAAAGAUGAAAAGAACUUUGGAAAGAGAGUUAAACAGUACGUGAAAUUGCUGAAAGGGAAACGCUUGAAGUCAGUCGCAUUACUUGGGGAUCAGCCUGCCUUCGUUGGUUGGUGUACUUCCUGAUUAAUGGGUCAGCAUCAGUUUUGACCGGUGGAUAAGAGCUUGAGGAAUGUGGCAUCUCCGGGUGUGUUAUAGCCUCUUGUUGUAUACAUCGGUUGGGACUGAGGAACUCAGCACGCCGCAAGGCCGGGUUGUUUACAAUCACGC
rnacentral:rRNA from 1 species